GACGAACGCUGGCGGCGUGCUUAACACAUGCAAGUCGAACGGAAAGGCCCUGCUUUUGUGGGGUGCUCGAGUGGCGAACGGGUGAGUAACACGUGAGUAACCUGCCCUUGACUUUGGGAUAACUUCAGGAAACUGGGGCUAAUACCGGAUAGGAGCUCCUGCUGCAUGGGGGGGGUUGGAAAGUUUCGGCGGUUGGGGAUGGACUCGCGGCUUAUCAGCUUGUUGGUGGGGUAGUGGCUUACCAAGGCUUUGACGGGUAGCCGGCCUGAGAGGGUGACCGGCCACAUUGGGACUGACAUACGGCCCAGACUCCUACGGGAGGCAGCAGUGGGGAAUAUUGCACAAUGGGCGGAAGCCUGAUGCAGCAACGCCGCGUGCGGGAUGACGGCCUUCGGGUUGUAAACCGCUUUCGCCUGUGACGAAGCGUGAGUGACGGUAAUGGGUAAAGAAGCACCGGCUAACUACGUG
rnacentral:rRNA from 1 species